UACGUAGGUGGCAAGCGUUGUCCGGAUUUAUUGGGUUUAAAGGGUGCGUAGGCGGUUCUAUAAGUCAGUGGUGAAAUCCGGCAGCUCAACUGUCGAUGUGCCAUUGAUACUGCAGAACUUGAGUACAGACGAGGUAGGCGGAAUUGACGGUGUAGCGGUGAAAUGCAUAGAUAUCGUCAAGAACACCGAUAGCGAAGGCAGCUUACUGGGCUGUAACUGACGCUGAUGCACGAAAGUGUGGGGAUCAAACAGG
rnacentral:rRNA from 1 species